rnacentral:sRNA from 1 species
AGCGUGCUUAAAAUUCAGGUCCAUGGUAAAAGAAUCUGCAGCCAGGAAACAUAAGCUCUCUUUCUUAAGACAAUGGCCUACAAAAAAUAUGAUACAUAUAUAUUAUUAAAUGCAGUGUUUGUCAUACUGUUAAUGUUAUUAUACAAAUGGUUUACAAUACACUUAACAAUUUAUUGUACUAACCUUUAUCUUGGUCCACAUUUUUUCCAAUGCAAAACGUUUGCAUUCCGACUUCUGAUUGACAUGAAGCGUGGAUGCAUUUACAUGUUUGCCAUUCGCUGUAGCCACCAUGAAAUUGGGCGCUUGUUAUAAAGUGGAAGUCUCCGCAUAUUUAUCAAAGAAUGCAGGCAUGGAUCUAGAUGUUAAAAAAAAGAGAAGACGCUCCCUAAGAAUCUCACAGGACUUGGAAAUAUGUGGAGGCAAUUAUGGAAGUGUUUGGAAAGAGCCAUCUCCGGAGUCUCGACGUUUGUCAGAGCUGAAAGAAAAGAAACGCAGGAGAUCCAAAAUGUUCAAUGCAGAUGAACUUCAGCAGUUCAGAAUAGCAGAAACCCCAGACAGAACAAGUGAAGUUGAUCGUCGCAGCCUUCUAGACUUCCAAAAUACUUCUCUGUCAGAUGUGGAGGGACCCAGAUGUCCCGAUAGUAGCGUUGGUCAACAUGAGAGUGUGGGAAUAACUCCCGUGAUCAUUGAAGAAGAGAUGAUAAGUCAACAUAGUGAAAGGGUGACAAAUGACAAUAAAAAAGAAAGAACUCCUCUUCCUGAACCUCACCCUGAUGAUUAUUCUACUCCCAUAGCUCCCCCAGUGUUGUCAGAUUCCUUGCCAUAUUCUCCCUCUCAGCCUUUUAUUGCUGAUAUUUCUCAAUCACCUAUUAUAAGCUCCCUUGUAAGCCCCAAUUCACCAGCGUCAGAUGGGGAGUUUUUUACUCCCCUGUCUCAGAUAAAGUCCAGGGUUGUAAGAUAUUCCAACAAGAAAAUCAGAACAAAGCUACAACCCAAGCAGCUAUCUGCUGAUUAUUCUGAUGUAGGUUUGAAAUCUAAUGAGCACAGCAACAAAGGAGAUUCUACGUGUACAUCUCCCAAGACCCAUUUUAUGAAGGUGUGUAAAACGCUGGGAGAAAAACUGGCACUGCUGAAAAAAGGCAGCCUACUGACAGAUAGUACACAAAAUAAUUUUAAUGACAAUGAUAUUGACUUUGAAAAUCAAUUAGAUGAUAAUAAAACCGAUCAAACUGCAGAUGUAGAGUUAAAUAUAAGUCCAAGAACUGUUGAUUCAUCUCCCAUCAUUACAGAAUCACUACAAGAAAAUAGAGAAUAUAAUGAACAGAAUAUAAUGUUGGAAACAGAAAAUGCUGAACUGGAGAAAUCCUUAGUGGAGGACAAGAAAGAAAACAGAAGUUCUGAUGGUCUUGUACCUGAAGGAACUGGUGAUAUGGAUGCAUCAGUUUUUCCAUCUCCAGAAAUCAGUUGUUCAGACCUGACAGAAGAAAACUCACCACAAGUGAUUCAGGUGAAAGAUGUAGAAGAAAAAACUGAAAAGAAUUCUAAUGUGCUAAAGAUAUCAUUGGUAAAUUCAAAUGCAGAUACUAAAUCAAAAGUGAAAUCUGCAAAACGAGGGCGACCUAGGAAACUUUCUCAAGAUGAUUCAACAACUAUUAAAACCAACAUCCAAAGAUUUUCAGAAAGUGUAGAUCAUGAAACAAGCCAUAGCAAGAUAGAAAGCAAUGCUAGUGUGCAGGAGAGGAGAAAUGAAUGCAUGGACGUGGAAGCUGACUGUCAAAUAAAUGGAACAGAAAUUCCCACUUGCAAUGAAUUCGAAACACACUCGGCAGAAGUUCAUGAAAGUACAUCUCAGAAAGUGAAGAGAAAGAGAGGUCGUCCAAGGAAGAGCUUGUCAUCAGAUGACCAGAGUUGUGCAUUACCAGUGUCCUGUCCUUCAGCAUCGUCUACUGAUGAUGCAAGUACUACAGAGGACAAUAACACCCAGUGUGAAGAUGGUCAAAGCCUGGACGAACAAAUUGCUGAGGAGAAAAAGUCCAGGAGACUCCGCAGAAGGUCUUUUGAAAUUUUUAGAGCUAGUAGAGAAGAGCCCAAUGAAACAAAAGAAGAGCAGACAGAGCAGGAAGAAAAGAAAGAUUUUGGUAGUGUCUUGAAAGAUUUAAAUGGUUCAACAGCCCCAGUGAAAGCACCAAGAAAAAGAAAAAAGUUAGAAUCUGAAGAAGACAUUGCAAAAAUCUAUACUGCGAAAAAUUAUUUGCCACCACCACCGAAAGCUUUAGAGACAAUUUCAGAGUCUCCCUCACUUGCAAAACAGGCCAGAAAAUUGAAAAGACUUAUAGAUUUUGGAAGUUUGUAUCAUAUCCCACAAAUCAAGCAAAGGAAACGACAACAAAAAGCAGCCAAAAGGGGAUGGGACCAGAAAAAAGUUCGUAAAAGUAAAAUACCAGAUGAUGUGGCUCAGCAAAAGUUGCAAAGUAUUUGGGAUGAAUUAGACACAGACAAAGACUGAUUUGCAAAUCUAAUGAGUAAUGCAUGUCUUUUUUCAUUAUUUUACUAUUUACCUUGUGAAAUAUGGCUCUUCAGAUUAAGUUUUACAUCAUGAUUCAUGUUCAUUUACCAGACUUUUAAGAAUCCAAUAUAUUUUCAGCAUGUGUCAGGAGUAUUAAUUUUAGCAAUUUUUAUAGACACAUCUUUAGACAAAUUUGAUUUGUAACAGUUUUACUAUGUUGAUGUAGUAAAUUAGUAUACUUCCAUUACGUAAGGUGUUAGUGUAAACUAGUCUUUUAUCAUAUUUCAAAUUUUUGAAAUAAAAGUAUACCUAUUAUAAAUUC